GACGAACGCUGGCGGCGUGCUUAACACAUGCAAGUCGAACGGAAAGGCCCUGCUUUUGUGGGGUGCUCGAGUGGCGAACGGGUGAGUAACACGUGAGUAACCUGCCCUUGACUUUGGGAUAACUUCAGGAAACUGGGGCUAAUACCGGAUAGGAGCUCCUGCUGCAUGGUGGGGGUUGGAAAGUUUCGGCGGUUGGGGAUGGACUCGCGGCUUAUCAGCUUGUUGGUGGGGUAGUGGCUUACCAAGGCUUUGACGGGUAGCCGGCCUGAGAGGGUGACCGGCCACAUUGGGACUGAGAGACGGACCAGACUCCUACGGGAGGCAGCAGUGGGGAAUAUUGCACAAUGGGCGGACGCCUGAUGCAGCAACGCCGCGUGCGGGAUGACGGCCUUCGGGUUGUAAACCGCUUUCGCCUGUGACGAAGCGUGAGUGACGGUAAUGGGUAAAGAAGCACCGGCUAACUACGUG
rnacentral:rRNA from 1 species